rnacentral:misc_RNA from 1 species
GGAACGGAAUCGCUUUUACGCCUCUCUCUCUCAAUUCUCUGUUUAUCUUAUUAGCAGAGGAGAGGGAAAGAGGGAGUGAAGAUUACGAUUUCGCUUCCUCUUUUCCUCUGGGAUUUCUAAUAAACCUAGAAAUUUUGAGUUUCUGAUUGGUCGAUUGAUUGAUUCAUCGUCUCGAACAAGCUGCGAUCUUUUGUGGUAUCCUUGUUUAUAUAUUUGAGUUAUUC